CCUACGGGAGGCAGCAGUGGGGAAUAUUGCACAAUGGGGGAAACCCUGAUGCAGCAACGCCGCGUGAGUGAGGAAGUAUUUCGGUAUGUAAAGCUCUAUCAGCAGGGAGUAGAAAAGAAGGUACCUGAAAAAGAAGCCCCGGCUAACUACGUGCCAGCAGCCGCGGUAAUCCGUAGGGGGCAAGCGUUACCCGGAUUUACUGGGUGUAAGGGGUGGUUUGGCGGAAAGGAAAGUAAGAAGUGAAAGCCCAAGGCCAAACCAGGGGACUGCCUUUGAAACUGUCAAACUGGAGUGCGGGAGAGGUAAGAGGAAUCUCUGGUGUAGCGGUGAAAUGCGUAGAUAUUAGGAGGAACACCAGUGGCGAAGGCAUCUUACUGGACCGAAACUGACGUUGAGGCUCGAAAGCGUGGGGAGCAAACAGGAUUAGAUACCCCUGUAGUC
rnacentral:rRNA from 1 species